CUGUUCUGGAGCUCCCUGUCUCCUGCAGGAGUGACAGCAGCACCCCAAGAGUGACUGACAGCAGCACCCCAGAAGUGACUGACAGCACCCCAAGAGUGACUGACAGCAGCACCCCAAGAGUGACUGACAGCAGCACCCCAAGAGUGACUGACAGCAGCACCCCAGAGUGACUGACAGCAGCACCCCAGAGUGACUGACAGCAGCACCCCAGAAGUGACUGACAGCAGCACAGCACUGAAGUGUUUACUUUUAGGAAGUGGCUUCAUCCUUACACACACAGUUU